rnacentral:snRNA from 1 species
GUGCCAAACUCACUUUAGCAGCACAGAUACUAAAUUUGGAAGUAUACAGAGAAGAUAAGCAUGUCCCCUGUGCAAAGAUGACAUGCAAAUUCAUGAAGUACUCCAUAUUUUA